AAUUUGGCCGAAAAUAAGGAAAUAAAUCAGAUUUAAUUCAUAGAUAUUUCGGCAAAUAUAUAUUAAGGGAUUAUAAACUUAUUUUGGAGAGUUUUGAUUGGAUGGAUGACACACCAAAGGUGACAUGGCACCCUACGAUUGGUCGAAGCUAUGUGGAAUUUUCUGAAUGCUUGGAGAGCCUUGGCCGUCCCCUAUUUAUACCCUCCUAUUCUUGACUUUUUGGGUUCGACACUUUACAAUUCAGAAAAUUACUCUCUCAUAAACGUCUAGCCUCUCCUUCUCUCUCCAUUCUCUAGUUCGGUUUCUGCACUUUCAAGCAAGGGAGGAAGAAGGAAGAAGAAGCCGUGAGCAUUUCCCCCAUAAUCCACCUUGAAGCCGUGAGUUUUGAAGAUUGCUUCCAAGAUUCAGAGUUCAUCAAUUCAAGUUCUUCAUCACCAUCUCCAUUCACGGUGGUUAAAUUAUAUGCUCACUUAAAGCGUAUCAGGGUCUUCGUUAGAAAGCGUGAUGAGAAAAAGAGAUGGCAAUCUCGCCUUAUGGCGCAAGGCUUCUCGCAAAACGCCCUGGAAUCGACUACGCACUACACCAAUUUUUCAAUCAGACGACAGUUUUUCACUGUCGUCUGAUUAUAGAGUUUGCUGUUGUCUAUUUCAAUGCCGUCUGAUACAUAAUCAGACAAUACCAAAAAACUGUCGUCUGAUAAAGUUUACUACAACAGCGACUACUAUAUUGUCUGUUGUCUGAAUACCACGAAGAACAACAGCAAUAAUACCAAAAACUGUCGUCUGAUAAAGUUUACUACAACAGCGACUACUAUAUUGUCUGUUGUCUGAAUACCACGAAGAACAACAUCAGCUUAUAUACUUACUGUUGUCUGAAGGCUGUGCCAGACAACAGGGGCUUAUAUUCUUGCUGUUGUCUGAAGGCAUGAUCAGACAAUAUGUACUUGCAAAUCCCA